CCUUGCUGUUCCCAUCUCUUGCCAUCUCCAUCAUCCAGGGCCGGUGGUCCACUUUGAGAUGUCUGUGCUGUCUGCCUCAGGAUGAGGGGCUGACUCUCUGACUUCAAGAUAGGAAUAAAAGGAGGAGGAGUCUGCUACACCCACCAUCAAGUGCGCUCACAGUAUUUACUCAACCAGUGACAAGGAGGGCCAAACAAGAGGAAAAAUCCUAGAACUGCAGCAAGACAGAUGGGAAUCACACUAGAGGAGGGACUUCCCAGGGCAUCUGAGGAUUUACUACUGUAUCUGGAUCUUUGGGAUUGAGAGAGGAGCAAGAAGCUGACACUGCCUACUGCAAGUGGCUAUAAAGCCAUUCUCACGGUCCUGAUGCAAUGCUCAAGAUAAAAAGCAAGUGAGUAAUUAAUAACUAGGUUGUGAACUAACCUCUUGC
rnacentral:lncRNA from 1 species